GCCUGGUGGGGUAGUGCAAACCUGCAGUUCCUGGUACUGGAGCAGCUGAAGCUGGUGGAUCACUUGAGCUCGAUGGUUCUCAUUUGCAGUGGGUGAAGCCAACUGAGUGUCCACACUAAGUCUGGCAACAAAAUGGUGAGUCCCUGGGAGCAGGGACCCCACAGGCUGCCUAAGGAGGGGCAGACUAGCCAAGGUCACAUAAUAGAACAGUUCAAAGCUCCUGUGCCAAUCAGCAGUGGGAUUCAGCCUAUGAGUGUCUAUACUUCCAGCUUGAGCAAUAUCUAGCUAGCUAGCCAGCUACCU
rnacentral:SRP_RNA from 1 species